rnacentral:misc_RNA from 1 species
GAUGAAGAACGUAGCAAAAUGCGAUAAGUAAUGUGAAUUGCAGAAUUCAGUGAAUCAUCGAAUCUUUGAACGCACAUUGCGCCCGCUGGUAUUCCGGCGGGCAUGCCUGUUCGAGCAUCAUUUCAACCCUCAAGCCCCCGGGUUUGGUGUUGGGGAUCGGCUCUGCCCUUCUGGGCGGUGCCGCCCCCGAAAUACGUUGGCGGUCUCGCUGCAGCCUCCAUUGCGUAGUAGCUAACACCUCGCAACUGGAACGCGGCGCGGCCAUGCCGUAAAACCCCAACUUCUGAAUGUUGACCUCGGAUCAGGUAGGAAUACCCGCUGAACUUAAGCAUAUCAAUAAGCGGAGGA